rnacentral:rRNA from 1 species
CCUUCUAUUGAGAGCACAAGUUGGGGCCCCCACCACCCCGCGGUAACCCCACCUCCAAGAGCGUUAUAUAAAAGGUUGUCGCAGUAAAAAAGCUCGUAGGAGGAUUUCUUUUAAUAAUUUAUAAAAAUAUUUUGAUGAAUUUUUAUAUAAUAUCAACAUAAUUCAUAUUACUAUAUUUUUUUAGUAUAUGAAAUUUUACUUUGAGAAAAUUAGAGUGCUUAAAGCAGGCAUAUGCCUUGAAUACUCCCAGCAUGGAAUAAUAUUAAAGAUUUUUAUCUUUUUUAUUGGUUCUAAGAUAAGAAUAAUGAUUAAUAGGGACAGUUGGGGGCAUUUGUAUUUAACAGUCAGAGGUGAAAUUCUUAGAUUUGUUAAAGACAAACUAAUGCGAAAGCAUUUGCCAAGGAUGUUUUCAUUAAUCAAGAACGAAAGUUAGGGGAUCGAAGACGAUCAGAUACCGUCGUAGUCUUAACCAUAACUAUGCCGUAAUAGAGAUGGAAGG